rnacentral:rRNA from 1 species
GUCGAGCGGCGGACGGGUGAGUAACGCGUGAGAAUCUGCCCAUUUGUGGGGGAUAACUCGGGGAAACUCGAGCUAAUACCGCAUAAUCCCUACGGGGGAAAGCAGGGGACCUUCGGGCCUUGUGCAGAUGGAUGAGCUCGCGUCGGAUUAGCUUGUUGGUGAGGUAAAGGCUCACCAAGGCGACGAUCCGUAGCUGGUCUGAGAGGAUGAUCAGCCACACCGGGACUGAGACACGGCCCGGACUCCUACGGGAGGCAGCAGUGGGGAAUCUUGGACAAUGGGGGCAACCCUGAUCCAGCCAUGCCGCGUGUGUGAAGAAGGCCUUCGGGUUGUAAAGCACUUUCAGUAGGGAGGAAGGCUUACCGCUAAUAACGGUGAGUACUUGACGUUACCUACAGAAGAAGCACCGGCUAAUUUCGUGCCAGCAGCCGCGGUAAUACGAAAGGUGCGAGCGUUAAUCGGAAUUACUGGGCGUAAAGCGCGCGUAGGCGGUUUGUUAAGUCAGAUGUGAAAGCCCCGGGCUCAACCUGGGAAUUGCAUUUGAAACUGGCAGGCUAGAGUGCAGUAGAGGGAGGUGGAAUUUCCGGUGUAGCGGUGAAAUGCGUAGAGAUCGGAAGGAACACCAGUGGCGAAGGCGGCCUCCUGGACUGACACUGACGCUGAGGUGCGAAAGCGUGGGGAGCAAACAGGAUUAGAUACCCUGGUAGUCCACGCCGUAAACGAUGUCUACUAGUCGUUGGGAAUCUUAGUAUUCUUGGUUGACGAAGUUAACGCGAUAAGUAGACCGCCUGGGGGAGUACGGCCGCAAGGUUAAAACUCAAAUGAAUUGACGGGGGCCCGCACAAGCGGUGGAACCAUGGUGGUUUAAUUCGAUGCAACGCGAAGAACCUUACCAGGCCUUGACAUCCUUGGAACUUUCUAGAAGAAUAGAUUGGUGCCUUCGGGAGCCAAGUGACAGGUGCUGCAUGGCUGUCGUCAGCUCGUGUCCUGGAAAUGUUUGGGUUAAGUCCCGUAACGAGCGCAACCCUUGUCCCUAGUUGC